rnacentral:lncRNA from 1 species
CAUAAGUAUCCAAGUUAACUAUGUAGCACUCAUUACAACAACCGUGAAACAUUCAUUUCUCUAUUGAGAGGGUUUCUUCUGAGUACCAAGCAGAUGCACACAGAAUAUGUCUAUGAUUUAUAUAUGAAUGCUGUAUGCUUUAUAUAUGGAAAAGCAAGCAUUCUUUUCCACUGAGGCAGUAUCUAAGUGCUCUCCAGACAUGAACUGAGAUGCACCAUCAACACUAAACUAGAAACAAAUUUGACUGAAAGGAAUGCAAUCUCCAAAGGCUGGAGUCUUCAAACCCAAAGCAUAUCUGAGGAACAAGCAUGACAUAUCUGAACUAUCCUGAUGCCAGCGAGAAGUCUCUGACUGAUUU